AGAAUCAACGCUGGCGGCGUGCCUAACACAUGCAAGUCGAACGCGGUUACCCCGCAAGGGGUAACUGAGUGGCAAACGGGUGAGUAACGCGUGGGUGACCUACCUUCGAGUGGGGGAUAACGUUUCGAAAGGACGCUAAUACCGCAUGACAUCCUGCCUUUGGACGAGGCGGAGAUCGAAAGGCCGGGGAUCGUAAGACCUGGGCGCGUUGGGACGGACGGGGCCCGCGUCCGAUUAGCGUUAGGUUGGUGACGGUAACGCUCGACCGAAGGCGACGAUCGGUAGCCGGCUGGAGGACGGGCGGACGCCACGACGUGGGACUGGACGACCGACCGG
rnacentral:rRNA from 1 species